UAACACAUGCAAGUCGAACGAGAUCUUCGGAUCUAGUGGCGCACGGGUGAGUAACGCGUGGGAACCUACCUUUUAGUACGGGACAACGUUUGGAAACGAACGCUAAUACCGUAUACGCCCUCCGGGGGAAAGGUCAGCCGCUAAAAGAGGGGCCCGCGUCUGAUUAGCUUGUUGGUAAGGUAACGGCUUACCAAGGCUACGAUCAGUAGCUGGUCUGAGAGGAUGAUCAGCCACACUGGGACUGAGACACGGCCCAGACUCCUACGGGAGGCAGCAGUGGGGAAUAUUGGACAAUGGAGGCAACUCUGAUCCAGCAAUGCCGCGUGUGUGAUGAAGGCCCUAGGGUUGUAAAGCACUUUCAACGGUGAAGAUGAUGACGGUAGCCGUAGUAGAAGCCCCGGCUAACUUCGUGCCAGCAGCCGCGGUAAUACGAAGGGGGCGAGCGUUAUUCGGAAUUAUUGGGCGUAAAGGGCUCGCAGGCCGCUUGAACAGUUAGACGUGAAAUCCCCGGGCUCAACCUGGGAACUGCGUUUAAUACUAGCAAGCUAGAGAAAUAGAGAGGAAAGUGGAACUCCCAGUGUAGGUGAAAUUCGUAGAUAUUGGGAGAACACCAGUGGCGAAAGCGACUUUCUGGCUAUUUUCUGACGCUGAGGAGCGAAAGCGUGGGGAGCAAACAGGAUUAGAUACCCUGGUAGUCCACGCCGUAAACGAUGUGUGCUAGAUGUUGGAGGGAUACCUUUCAGUGUCGCAGCUAACGCACUAAGCACACCGCCUGGGAAGUACGGUCGCAAGAUUAAAACUCAAAGGAAUUGACGGGGGCCCGCACAAGCGGUGGAGCAUGUGGUUUAAUUCGACGCAACGCGCAGAACCUUACCAGCCCUUGACAUGUGGAGUUUGGUUAUCAGAGAUGAUUUCCUUCAGUUCGGCUGGCUCCAACACAGGUGCUGCAUGGCUGUCGUCAGCUGUGUCGUGAGAUGUUGGGUUAAGUCCCGCAACGAGCGCAACCCUCAUCUUUAGUUGCCAUCAGUUCGGCUGGGCACUCUAGAGAAACUGCCUGGGAUGACCAGGAGGAAGGCGGGGAUGACGUCAAGUCCUCAUGGCCCUUAUGGGCUGGGCUACACACGUGCUACAAUGGCGGUGACAAAGGGAUGCAAUAGGGCAACCUGGAGCAAAUCCCUAAAAACCGUCUCAGUUCGGAUUGUUCUCUGCAACUCGAGAGCAUGAAGUUGGAAUCGCUAGUAAUCGUAGAUCAGCAUGCUACGGUGAAUACGUUCCCGGGCCUUGUACACACCGCCCGUCACACCAUGGGAGUUGGUUUUACCCGAAGACGGUAUCCUAACCUUUUAGGAGGGAGCCGGCCACGGUAGGGUCAGCGACUGGGGUG
rnacentral:rRNA from 1 species